rnacentral:tRNA from 2 species
GUGGCGGAUAGCUCAGUGGUAGAGCACCAAAAUAUCCUUGUUCAUAACUAAUCCGCAAGGGUCGAAGAAUUAGGGUUAUCGACUUCAGAUCGGGUUGUCGGGGGUUCGAGUCCCCCUCCGCUACACCA